ACACCCCACCCCUGCCCUCCUCUUUCUCUCUCCCUUCCCCUCCAUUUUCAGCCAAACCUUAUUCUUCCUUUAGCCACGGACAGAUUUGCCUGUCCCAUUUUUUGCACUAUUUGUCUUUCCCUUCUGCUCACCUACGUGGUUCUGUCGUUUGAAAGGGAGGGCUUUCCCAUUUUCGCUUCAAAACGCAAAUAAUCCUCAAGACCAGAGAAAAUCGGUCCAUUUUGAGCAAAAUCUGACUAGAUCACGUGAAAUGUCUACAAGUUCGUCCAAAUUUUCAAACGGACAUUUUUUGGAUUCAAGAUUCAAACUUGACGCUCUAAAAAUCCCGCCCCAUUUUUGAACCCCCGAAAACUCUAACAACCUCCUAUAAAUAAUCGUCUUCGGGAAGUGUUAGAGGGGGUUGGGAGCCACACAAAAUCUCCUUAAGAAAAAGAGAGUUCAUUUCUUGAGUCAUCCAGAAACCUAGAGUCCUUUUAGCCGCAGGAGUCCCCGAAAAUUAAAGUUUGAAACCCCCUAAAACAAGAGUUCUCUAGCUGCUCAAACUCCCCUUUAAAGAUACUAGUUUUAAUUUUAUUGAUAUCGUCUAAAAAAAAAAAUACUAAGUCUGUUCUAUUUUUUCCUUGGGUAUUCGUUCGAAUCUGAGUGCUUGAGAGCUCGGAUUUUGUGUUGUGUCGAGGUAGUUCGGAGACCCUCGCACCCUGUUUGCUGCACCCGAAGAAGAAAUGGGAGACCUAACUCCAAAUCUGAAUGCUACUGCUACUGUCACACCAACUCCGGUGGUUGGCUUUACAAGCAAUGUUGCCUCCUCCAGUCGUGCUGCAGCGGCACCGGCUCCGGCAGAAAAGCCCGAAAAAUUCUCCGGGAUUGAUUUCAAACGAUGGCAACAAAAGAUGUUCUUUUAUUUAACAACUUUAAGUCUACAAAUGUUCAUUAAGGAAGAAGUUCCGGUUCAACCCGAAUCAACUCCUAAAGAUGAACGCUUCAUUGUGAUUGAGGCUUGGAAGCAAUCGAAUUUUUUUGUGUAAGAAUCAUAUACAUAGCGGACUGGAGGAUGAUCUUUACACUGACUAUAGUAAUGUGGGAACUUCGAAAGAACUAUGGGGUGCGUUGGAAAAGUAAUAUAAAACUGAGGAUGCCGAAUUAAAAAAGUUUAUUGCCACCAAGUUCCUGGACUACAAAAUGGUAGAUGGCAAGUCUGUUGUUACUCAAGUUCAAGAGUUGUAGGUUAUAUCAUCCACGAUCUCCUGACUGAAGGUUUGGUGACUAGUGGCGCCUUUCAAGUUAUGGCAGUAAUAGAGAAGUUGCCUCCUUUAUGAAAGGACUUCAAAAAUUACUUGAAACACAAACGAAAGGAGAUGACGCUCGAAGAUCUCAUCGUUCGGUUGAGAAUCGAGGAAGAUAACAAGGCGGAAGAAAAGAAGGCUAGUGGGAAAUCAGCAAUAGGGGGAGCACAAAUUGUUGAAACUCCUCCAGGGGAGCACAUAUUGUUGAAACUACUCCAACGAAUCCUAAAAAGAGGGAAAAGGCAUCAGGACCAAGGAACUAUCCCGACAAGAAGAGAUUCAAGGAAACUGCCACAAUUGUGGAAAAAUCGGACACAAAGCUGUAGAUUGUCGUGCUUCGAAGAAGGAAAAGAAAAAGGGUCAAGCUAAUAUGAGUGAAACAAAUGAGGAAGUUGAUGACUUGUGCGCUAUGUUGUCUGAGUGCAACCUCGUGAGAAAUCCUAAAGAGUGGUGGAUCGAUUCUGGCGCCACUCGCCACAUUUGUGUUGUUAGAGAAACAUUCGCUUCAUAUGCUUCUGUCGGACCCGACCAACAUAUUUUUAUGGGAUAUUGUGCAACAGCCAAGAUUGAAGGUUAUGGAAAGAUAUUUCUGAAAAUGGCUUCUGGCAAGGUGGUGACUCUCAAAAACGUUUGUCAUGUUCCUGAAAUUAGGAAAAAAUUAGUCUCGAUCGGACUUCUAGUGAAGAACAGUUUUAAGUGUGUUUAUGUUUGAGAUAAAGUUGUAGUAAGUAAGAACGAGAUGUACAUAGGAAAAGGUUACCUUGCAGAGGGCCUUUUCAAAUUGAAUGUAAUGGUCGUUGAUAAUAAUAAAAUUCCAGCUUCGUCUUACUUACUUGAGUGAAA